rnacentral:ribozyme from 1 species
AUUGAUAAUAUUGACUACCUCCACGUGGUAUCAAUCGGAAACUACAGAAAUGUAGGCUAAAUGUCAAA